UAUGAAAUUGGAACUAUAAAUUGCAGCUGAUUGUAUUGUUUUUUUUUCAAGUAACAUGAGAUUCAUGGGAUUGGUAGAUGAGGAAGAGUUGAACUGUGAUCUUAAAUAGGUUUUUACUAUGUUACAGCUGAACUAGAGUAUUCAUUAGUAUAUCUCAGUGUAUGUGUUCUUGUGUCUAUGAGAAUUUCUUUAUGAUUUUAUUUUUUACUAUGUGGGACAAUCAACAGAUGUUUCCUAAAUGCGUUGUUUACGAAGUUAGUAUUUACAAAUUUUUGCCCCCAUUUGGUCCGACAACCACUGGUUCCUGCUGGUUGUGGACAUUGUUGGUAAGGAGCUAGUGUAUCUGGAUUCACUGAAACCUGCUGCCCGAUUUAGGGCCAAAAGGAUUAGGCUGAUUAAGAAAGUGGUACGAAAUGUACUCCGUAUGCAUCCUCUUUGUGGCCUAUUUGUUCUUUAUAAAUUGCGUGUAUUCUGAAUGUAAUAACGACUCUACUUAUGUCCUACCACGUGUUCAGGCAAUUUUCUUAGAAGAAUACUUGAUGAUGACUCAUGGUACGAAAACCCAACUGAUGAGAGGUUACUAAUAAGUGACUACAAGCUUUAUGAGCCAAAAGUUGUCGAACAAGACGAUCGAAGCAACGACUACGGAAUGUAUGUAGCUCAGUGGAUGAUAUUAUACCACCUUUGGAGCUCUUAUGACAUUGCGAAGGUGAGCUACUAUAGUAGGAUGAGGCUUGGCAUCGACAUGGUUCUUAAGUACCACAACGAGAACCAUAUGCCAAUGAUAGAAUCGGCGAUAGAGUAUUGGAGGACCUUCACGAGGGAUCCUCCAAUUACGAAAUGAACCUGCAGUCGUCGAUUUAACUCUUUUUGGGAGCAGCUACGAUAAUACAAGGCCGAAGAAAUGAAUCCAUUUUGGAAGUACUUAAUUUUGAAGUUCAACCCCCUGCGAUGGAUGAGCCCUCACACAAAGACAUGAAGAUAUAUGAUGCAAAAGCUUUUUCUCCCAUGCAUAUGAAGGUAACCAUGUUGAAAGAUUUAACGUAGUAGUUGUAUUGCUGGGAAGUGGAGCAGCAUCCCCUGCAUUAAUCCAGAAAUGCUGGUGCAUAGUUCAUUGUCCUACUCUCCUCCCUAGAAAUAGCUUUCCCUAGUGGAAAAGACGACAAAGCUAUGCUCAGACUUGUGUUUUGCAACUUUAUUUCGGACCUAUUUUACUUGAGCUACUACUUGAUGUAAGGUGCUAAACAAUUGUAGGCACACUUUAUGUUUUCUUACAUGAUGCACUGAAUGUUGGAUCAGGAUUCGGUGGUUCCAGAACGUUUGGACCACUAAAUGGUCCCAUAACAAAACAUGUUUUUUA